rnacentral:lncRNA from 1 species
GAGUAACCUAUAAAGGAAAGAGGUUUAUUUCAUAGUUCUGGAGGCUAAGAAGUCCAAGUAAUAAUAAUGUAAUAAAAAAAGGUGAAUGUUAUGUGGAUAUCUCAAGAAUAAAUUAUAGUAAAAAACAAGGGGAAAUUGUGGUAAAAUAAUUAAAACCACUUGCAAAAAUAAAUAAAUAAAUAAAUUAGGAAAAGAGAAAGUUAAAGACAAAAGUUCAUUCUUGGAAAAAAAAUGAAAAUUGAUAAAUCUCUAGCAAGAUUGAGUAAAAACAGAAAGAAAAUAUGAAUUACCAAUUAUCAGAAGUGAGUGAUAUCACCAUAGAUUUUUAGAUACUAAAGUAUUAAUGGAGUAUGAACAACUUUAUGACAACAAAGUAGAGAACUUGGAUAAAAUGAACAAAUUAUUCAAAAACAACUUGCCAACAAUGUCACAAGUAGAUAUAAACUCUGAAUAUCCCUGUAAUGCUAAAGAAGCUGAAUUUGUAAUUUAAAACUCUUCCUACAUGGAAAACUCCAGACCCAGCAAAAAAAAUCCAACAAUAAGAAAAGAUAAUGAUCAACCCAGUAACAUAAAGUUGGAUAUCUGUUUAAAAUCAUUGGAUGUAAUAUAGGACAUUAACAGAAUAAAAGGGGAAAAUUACCUGUCUCAUAUGUAAAGGAAAGUUUGGGCUACAGCCCCAAACUCCAUGAUCCAAAUGUUGGAAUCCUAAAAGAUCAAACACUUAAGUCUGAAAUCCCAAAAGAUAAAAAUCUCAAAAAUAUAAUUCUGGAAAAAAAUUUAAAAUCUUUAAAAUACAUUUAUCUAUAUUUUUUAAAAAAGAGGAUUUAAGAAACAUAAAAACCAGUAGAGUACUUCAUAGGCUGCUUUACACAAUAAAAAUAGGCAAUGAUAGUAUACAUUUUUGCAAGCAUAAACAUCAGGUACACUGAGCAGUCACAUGGUUAUAACCAAUAUGGACAAACUGUAUUCAUAAAGAAACAUGUCGUACUCACUUCAGCAGCACAUAUACUAAAAUUGGAAUAAUACAGAGAAGAUCAGCACAGCCCCUAUGCAAGGAUGACAUGCAUAUUCUGAAGCAUUCCAUAUUUUUAAAAAAAUGAAAGAAAGAUGUCAAAAGUGAAAUGUGUGAACACAUACCACUGUGGUUGGUAAAUGAAUGUGCCCAGCUGUAUAACUGCAACCAUCUGAAAUACCAAAAAAUUAUGUAGACAGCCUUAGUCUUUUGUUGAAGAGGAAUCAAAAACUGCAGUGGGUCACCACUGCAUAUAUAUACAGUAGCCCAAAGAACGGAGGUCUCAAGAAAUUUCAUCUUUCACAAUUCAGAUGUAUAAAA